rnacentral:rRNA from 1 species
UGCAAGUCAACUGAGCUUAAGAUAGCAAUAUUUUAAGUGCGGUGGCGCACGGGUGAGUAACACGUAGGUAAUCUGCCUUUAGGUCUGACAUAAUCCCGCGAAAGCGGGACUAAAAUCAGAUGAUGCAGCGGCUCGACAUCGAGACAGUUGUUAAACCUUCGGGGCCUAAAGAUGAGCCUGCGUCUGAUUAGGUAGUUGGCGGAGUAAAAGCCCACCAAGCCUGCGAUCAGUAGCUGGUCUGAGAGGAUGAUCAGCCACACUGGAACUGAGACACGGUCCAGACUCCUACGGGAGGCAGCAGUAAGGAAUAUUGCUCAAUGGCCGAAAGGCUGAAGCAGCAACGCCGCGUGGAGGAUGAAAUACUUUUGUAUGUAAACUCCUGUAAGGGGGGAAAAAUAUUCCGAUUUAUCGGAAUUGAUUGUACCCUCAGAGUAAGCACCGGCUAACUACGUGCCAGCAGCCGCGGUAAUACGUAGGGUGCUAGAGUUGUCCGGAUUUACUGGGUGUAAAGGGUGCUCAGGUGGGUUUGUAAGUCAGAGGUGAAAUCCCAAAGCUUAACUUUGGAGCUGCCUUUGAUACUGCAAGUCCGGAGUUUGAGAGAGGGCAAUGGAAUAUCUGGUGUAGCAGUGAAAUGCGUAGAUAUCAGAUAGAACACCAAUGGCGAAGGCAGUUGCCUGGCUCAAAACUGACGCUAAAGCACGAAAGUGUGGGGAGCAAACAGGAUUAGAUACCCUGGUAGUCCACACCCUAAACGAUGAAUACUAGAUGUUGGUCCUUUUUAGGAUCAGUAUCCAAGCUAACGCAUUAAGUAUUCCACCUGGGAAGUACNAUCGCAAGGUUGAAACUCAAAGGAAUUGACGGGGGCCCGCACAAGCAGUGGAGCAUGUGGUUUAAUUCGACGCAACGCGAAGAACCUUACCUAGGCUUGAAACGC